UCACUGUUGUUAUCUUCAAGAUAUUUGAAAACUGAAUCGUUGGACGUGUUUGUAAUCCUGAGAUGUGAGGGCCUCAAAAAUUGCGCAAUCUUCCGAGUUUAAUCGGUAAUGGAAUUUUACGAACCAUUCCGAACAGACAGCUGUCUGCCAUUUCUAAACUUGCUUGUAUUCAUAAAAUCGGAUGAACUUCUUUCAUAUUUUUAGAAAUUAAUAUUCUUUAUUUGUUUUGACACAGAUUUUAUGCAGUUAUUCACGGAUUUUAUGGUGUAAUUAAAAGGUGAUCUAUGUGGUUCCUGUUUUAUACUAAGAAGUACUUAUAAAAACUAUUGUUGGCUGGAAACCUGUAAUAAAUUGUCCUAGUUUUUUUUCGUGAUAAAUGAAUUGUAGUGGUAUCAUCCUGAAAGAAUAAUCUAGCCCAGAAGAAGUUGGAUAAAAAUAUAAAUUACAUUAUGUCUUGUAAUUGUA